UCACUCUGGAACUUAAAAAGGCUUGGCCACCUCACCUAUAUGAGAAAUCGAAAUCCAUUCAUUUCCCACUCCUCCGUCACCAAACGCUCCGCAUCUUAGGCACUGUACGGUUAGCGGCCGAGCAAAGCAAAGGAAAUCGGAGAUCAGCUAGCAAACAAUGGACGGACAUGAUUCAGAAGAUCCGAAGCAAAGCACUGCUGAUAUGACUGCUUUUGUGCAAAAUCUUCUUCAGCAGAUGCAAUCCAGGUUCCAAACAAUGUCCGACUCCAUUGUUACAAAGAAUAUCCUUAACAUUUGUUAUGAGUUGUCUACAUAAAUUUAUGUUAAAUUUCUUUGUGAUUGAAAUUGAUGGAUCACUCUCGUACAUAAUAAAGGAAAUAUUGUCUGGUGUCCUUGCGUGAGAUUUUCACUAUAUCUGGUUGCAUAUCUUCAUGCAAAUUGUUUAAGAUGAAACCUAGUUGAGACUUUUCAAUGGGAUUAUUUGAUCAAUUACGUCUUGGACAUAUUGUGGUGGUCAGCUGCUAUUCUUAGAUGACGAGUAGGAUUAUUUUGAUGGGAAACAAUAUGAUUCUGAACUUUGGAUUAUGGGUUUAAGUUCUUUAGGUCUAUAAAGACGGAAUGGCUACCAUGUAAAUGUUAGAAAAAAAAUAUUUGCGCCUGCACCCUCCCCGCGCUCUCCCCCCCCCCCCCCCAAACCUAAUGCUUAUUUAGCUGUGUCAAUGAUUCAAAAUGUGUGAAUGAAUUCCUUGUUUUCUUAACUUCAAUGCACUUGACGAGAUGGGAACUCGCAUAAAUGACUUGGAGCAGAGCAUAAAUGACUUGAGAGCAGAGAUGGGAGUGGAGGGCUCACCUUCUCCUUUGACCCCAUCCAAGCAAAAGCCAGGCGAAGACAAGCAAGAAGAAGACUCAGCUUAGAGUCAUUCAAAGUGGAUUUGUUCUGUGGCAGAUGUUUGUCUCUUAGAAUCUGUUUGGGGAGUCACUUCUGGCGCUGUUGUAGAGGAAAACUUGCAAAUCUGAGAUGAUUUAUAGUUAUGAUCCCUGUUCACUUUUUUAUUGAUUUUGCGGGCAACAAGUGAUUAGGAUGUUACUCAUAUUGUUUAACAAUAGAUCUGUUGUAGCUGGCCGAUAGAAAAGAUUUUUGUGCGUUAUGAGCCACAAUCUGAUCUACCUGAGCAGUAGCUUUAUUUUUGCCCGCUGUAGUAGUACCGUGUACUGAAUUUAGAGAUUUAUAACCAUGGAUGCCACAGUUGAAGCCCAUUAUUAUUAACA